rnacentral:rRNA from 1 species
GACGAACGCUGGCGGCGGGCUUAACACAUGCAAGUCGAACGGAAAGGCCCUGCUUGUGUGGGAUGCUCGAGUGGCGAAGGGGCGAGGAAGACGAAAGUGACCUGACCUUGACUUUGGGAUAACGUCAGGAAACUGGGGGUCAGACCGGAUAGGAGCGCCUGCUGCUUGGGGGGGGUUGGAAAGUUUCGGCGGUUGGGGAUGGACUCGCGGCUUAUCAGCUUGUUGGUGGGGUAGUGGCUUACCAAGGCUUUGACGGGUAGCCGGCCUGAGAGGGUGACCGGCACAAUUGCGACUGACAUACGGCCGACACCAGUAAGGGAGGCAGCAGUAGGGACUAUUGCACAAUGCGCGGAAGCAUCAUGCAGCAACGCCGCGUGAGGGAUGACGAACUUCGUGUUGUAAACGGCUUUGGGGUGUGACGAAGCGUGAGUGCAGGUACUGGGUAAAGAAGCACCGGCUAACUCCGUG